rnacentral:rRNA from 1 species
GAUGAACGCUGGCGGCGUGCUUAACACAUGCAAGUCGAACGGGAAUUACUUUAUUGAAGCUUCGGUCGAUUUAAUUUAAUUCUAGUGGCGGACGGGUGAGUAACGCGUGGGUAACCUGCCUUGUACAGGGGGAGUAACAGUCAGAAAUAGGCUGCUAAUACCGCAUAAGCGCACAGAGCUGCAUGGCUCAGUGUGAAAACUACCGGUGGUAUAAGAUGGACCCGCGUUGGAUUAGCUAGUUGGUGGGGUAACGGCCCACCAGGGCGGACGAUCCAUAGCCGGCCUGAGAGGGUGAACGGCCACAUUGGGACUGAGACACGGCCCAG